rnacentral:rRNA from 1 species
CCUACGGGAGACAGCAGUGAGGAAUAUUGGUCAAUGGGCGGGAGCCUGAACCAGCCAAGCCGCGUGAGGGAAGAAGGUACAGCGUAUUGUAAACCUCUUUUGUCAGGGAACAAAGGCGGGGACUAGUCCCCGGAUGAGGGUACCUGAAGAAAAAGCAUCGGCUAACUCCGUGCCAGCAGCCGCGGUAAUACGGAGGAUGCGAGCGUUAUCCGGAUUUAUUGGGUUUAAAGGGUGCGCAGGCGGCCUGUUAAGUCAGCGGUAAAAGCCCGGGGCUCAACCCCGGCUAGCCGUUGAAACUGGCGGGCUGGAGUUGGAGAGAAGUACGCGGAAUGCGCGGUGUAGCGGUGAAAUGCUUAGAUAUCGCGCAGAACCCCGAUUGCGAAGGCAGCGUACCGGCUCCACACUGACGCUGAGGCACGAAAGCGUGGGUAUCGAACAGGAUUAGAUACCCCAGUAGUC